ACGGGGAAGAGCCCAAACCAAUGAUGUUUCGGCAUGAUUGGGGUUGUAGGACUGCGUGAUUGCAAGAAAUCAAGAUAGAGGAACGUUUUGGAAAGAACGACCAUAGAGAGUGACAGUCUCGUACUCGAAAUUUUGAUGAAGCAUAGCAGAAUCCUGAGUAGGGCGGGACACGUGAAAUCCUGUCUGAAUCCGGCGGGCCCAUCCGCCAAGGCUAAAUACUCGUAAGAGACCGAUAGCGAACCAGUACCGUGAGGGAAAGGUGAAAAGCACCUCGUGUAGAGGAGUGAAAAAGUUCCUGAAACCGUACGCCUACAAGCGGUCGGAGCUCCUUUAUGGAGUGACGGCGUGCCUUUUGCAUAAUGAACCUACGAGUUGCCGGUAUCAGCAAGGUUAAGGGUUUAGAAGUCCCGCAGCCGAAGCGAAAGCGAGUCUUAACAGGGCGCUGAGUUGUUACAGGCAGACGCGAAACCAAGUGAUCUACCCUUGUCCAGGAUGAAGUCCGGGUAACACCGGAUGGAGGUCCGCACCAAUAAGCGUUGAAAAGCUUCUGGAUGAGGUGAGGGUAGGAGUGAAAGGCCAAUCAAACUUGGAGAUAGCUCGUACUCCCCGAAAUGCAUUUAGGUGCAGCCUAUGGUGUUUACUGCGUGAGGUAGAGCGACUGAUCGGAUGCGAGGGCUUCACCGCCUAUCAAGUCCGGACAAACUCCGAAUGCGCGCAGUUAAGAGCCAUGGAGUGAGGGCGCGGGUGCUAAGGUCCGUGCCCGAGAGGAGAAGAAUCCAGACCAUCAGCUAAGGUCCCGAAGUAAUGAUUAAGUUAAACUAACGAAGUGUGGUCUCAGCGACAGCUAGGAUGUUGGCUUGGAAGCAGCCAUUCAUUCAAAGAGUGCGUAACAGCUCACUAGUCGAGGGUCCGGGCAUGGAUAAUAAUCGGGUAUAAGUCAGAUACCGAAGGCGCGGGAUAGUAAUGUAUAUUAAAAGUAUCGGUAGGGGAGCAUUCCAUCGGCGUUGAAUGGUGAGGGUAACCGAUCCUGGAGCUUAUGGAAAAGCAAAUGUAGGUAUAAGUAACGAUAAAAAGGGUGAGAUUCCCUUUCGCCGAAAGACCGAGGUUUCCCGGGCGAUGCCAAUCAGCCCGGGGUUAGUCGGGUCCUAAGUCUCAGCCGAACGGCGAAGGCGAUGGCAGAUGCGGUUAAUAUUCCGCAACUCGCAUAUACAGUGAUGUGGAGACGGAGCAGUGACACUGCCGCGCCCUGACGGAAUAGGGCGUUUAAGUGUGUAGGCUAUGAGGAAGGCAGGCAAAUCCACCUUCCGAGCUGAACUAUGAAAGUACAGGUAAUCCUUCGGGAUAACUUGAGUGCAGGUAAUCAUACUUCCGAGAAAAUCCGCUAAACUUAAUGUAUAUGCGACCCGUACCGCAAACGGACACACGUGGUCGGGUAGAAUAUACUAAGGCGUUGAGAGAUUCAUGGUUAAGGAACUAGGCAAAUUGACCCCGUAACUUCGGGAUAAGGGGUCCUCAUAGCAAUAUGAGGCGCAGAGAAUCGGUCCAGGCAACUGUUUAACAAAAACACAGGGCUGUGCAAACUCGAAAGAUGACGUAUACAGCCUGACACCUGCCCGGUGCCGGAAGGUUAAGAGGAGAGCUCAGAGCUUCUGCUCGAAGGUUUGAAUUGAAGCCCCGGUAAACGGCGGCCGUAACUAUAACGGUCCUAAGGUAGCGAAAUUCCUUGUCGGGU
rnacentral:rRNA from 1 species